GCGCCCUUAGCUCAUCUGGAUAGAGCAACGGCCUUCUAAGCCGUAGGUAGUAGGUUCGAGUCCUACAGGGUGCGCCA
rnacentral:tRNA from 8 species